AAAACUUUUCGAACAUGAUGACGAGAAUCUGAGGAAGACUUUUGAGGAUGAUGCAGAUGGAUGAAUGAAGUUGCAUUCUCAAAUAUGCGUAUAUAUAAUGCUACAUAACUCAUUCCAACACUUUACUAGCAUCAUUCCAACAAUUUACUAGCAUGUUUGAAUGUGUUCAAACUCUUUCAAAACACGUUCACUCUAUAACUCUAUUCUAACAUGAUUUUAUUGUCAAGUCUUGGUUUGACUAGAGUAAUAGUAAAAAAUAGUUAUGCCUAAU
rnacentral:lncRNA from 1 species